rnacentral:lncRNA from 1 species
UUUUUUUUUGUCGUUAAGACUUAGAAUUGCACAAAAAUAAUGGAUUUAUACUUUAACGAAAACAUCUCUUGAAAAGUUAUUCGUUGAUGGCUAAAUGAUAUUUAUUUCUGAAAUCUAAAUCUUGUUUCGCUGUUCUGAGUGUUCAAGAUGUUACAUGCAGUUAAGAGUGGUGAAACAAAUACAAAAAAACACUGGUCUGUAUAAAAUGUACGCAAAAGUAAACGAAAGAAAGCCGCUGGAAUGCACUCCUGGUCUCAGAUAAGCACAUUUAAAAAAUGACAGCUAACAUGAAAUAAGUGCCAAUAAAAGAGUGAGUCCAACACUUGCUUUUUCAAAAACA